rnacentral:rRNA from 1 species
UGGGGAAUAUUGCACAAUGGGCGAAAGCCUGAUGCAGCAACGCCGCGUGAGGGACGACGGCCUUCGGGUUGUAAACCUCUUUAGCAAGGAAGAAGCGAAAGUGACGGUACUUGCAGAAAAAGCGCCGGCUAACUACGUGCCAGCAGCCGCGGUAAUACGUAGGGCGCAAGCGUUAUCCGGAAUUAUUGGGCGUAAAGAGCUCGUAGGCGGUUUGUCGCGUCUGCUGUGAAAACCCGAGGCCCAACCUCGGGCCUGCAGUGGGUACGGGCAGACUAGAGUGCGGUAGGGGAGAUUGGAACUCCUGGUGUAGCGGUGGAAUGCGCAGAUAUCAGGAAGAACACCGAUGGCGAAGGCAGAUCUCUGGGCCGUAACUGACGCUGAGGAGCG